CAGUCAAAGAUAUGCUUUUAAUAAAAUCAAACAAGCAUUUAUAAAAUCGAUUAUGCAUUUAUAAAAUCAUAAAAGGUUUUUAAAACUUUGAUAGUUACAAAAUAAAUAUUAAUAGUCAAGGAUAUGCAAUGAAUGAUUUUAAUUUCGAUUUUAUUGAUGGGUUGACUGAUUUUAGGAGUUCUGGCCGAAAAUGGCACAACAAGGGAUUGAUGGAAUUUUGUUUUGGCCAGAUUAUACACUUAUGUUUAUCACAUCUGGUAAAAUGGCCAAACAAAAGGAUUGAAUCAAAAAGGUUUAAGCUUUCUCUAAUAAUUUUAUGAUUCAUAAGUUUUUAUAAACAAGAUUCAUGUAGAUCUUUAGGUAUUUUGAUAAGUUUAUAAGUUUUUUAGAGAAACAUAGAACCUUUAGAGAAUUUUAAGUUUUAUGGAUUCAAGAUACUUUUAGAAUCAAGUUUCAUAUGGAUCAUAUGGAUCAUAGAAACAAGAUCAAUAUUUUAAAUCCAUAGAUUGUUUAUAAGUUAUGGAUUCAUAUAGAUCCUAGAUUUGUUUCAGACAUAAUGGUGUUCUAUAGAUUUCAAGGUUUUGAUUUGUUUACCUUUUUCACCACAAGAAUCUGAGAGGACCACCGUGAGAGUUGGCCGGAAUUUGAGAGAGAGAGGAGUUUUCCGGCGGAGAGAGAGAGGUGGCCUGGUGGAGAGGAGGCUGAGCGCCGGUGGAGCAAAGGCUGAGCACCGGAGGAGCUGGCCGGAAAGAGGAUCGCCGGCUGAGAGAGAUUUCUCAGGUGGAGAGCACAAUCGUGCUGAUAACGUGUUAGAAAUAUGAGAGAAGUGUUGUUGUGAAAGUUGUGUCUUUCUCAUUAGCUCUCACUAUCAAUAUAUAGUGGAGGUUCCAAGGGUUUACAACAAAGGAGAGUAUCUACACAUUUAUUACAUAUUGACCACAAAUAUCUAGACUUGGUCAAAGCUCAUAAAUGCUCCGGUUGAAUGAGUCUUCAUCUUGACUAGUCUUGGACGGAUGAGACGAACCGGAGACGGGUGUAGACGGACCGGAUAGUCUGGACGGAUGUAAACCUCCUUGAUGGUUAAUGGCAAUCCACAUAUCCAUAUCAUGGAUUUAUAACAUGAAGGAGCUUUUUCGUAUAGAUUUUCAUUGUGGGCUACAUCUUCAAAUGAAUAAUGUGAUGGGUUUUAUCGUUUAUCUUAUGCGUCUCACAUGUUGUUAGGGUUUUCAUAUUCUGUGUUCUUAUGUUUCCAGAGACGACAUCUUGUCUGAAACCUUCUACAUAACGCUUAUCCUCCUCCACUUCCCGGAUGUUAAGUAAUUGUGCUUAGUAAUGUCAUUCAAUCGAAGCAGUUAGUUCUUGCUCAACCAUCCAUCUUCCCUGUCUUCGUUACCCAUUUCAUCCAGUAUUCAUAUGAGCCCGAAUCGAGACUUCAGCAUAAUUCAGUGGCUUACAAUCUUUGUUCCGACUAAACACUCUCUCAGCGUUGAUUAUGGCGAAUUCUCAAGUUUUUCUUUCAGAGUUGAAGGCAGGUUGGUGUAGACAGACUGACAUAUCAUAUCAAAAGGCUCUCUCUCUCUCUCUCUCUCUCUCAUCUUCGCCGGGAAAGAAGAUACCAAAUCGUUAGGGUUUCAUGGCGGAGAGUUUCAGUCUUUGAUAGGAGAAGCUUUCAUCAUCAUCCUAGAUUCUUAUUAAUGGCUAUCAGUUUCAAGUCCUGGAUGGGAGUCUGGUGACUAGGGGCUGAGAACUUUGGAUCUGAAGGUUAGUGAUGCUCCGGCCAUUGUCUUGAUAUCAAAAAAAAAAUGCACAAGUCCAAGGCUUGGUCACGUCUACGACCAUAGGUUAGCAUUUCCUUGUCGUCAUUCUUAAAGUUCGAUAUAUUUCGUCAUGAGUUUUCAUUUCCGUUGAUUUGGAUUGGGUUGGUGAUUUACAUGUGAAGUUCUGGCUGAUGCUGACAAGUCGAAACCGGAGGCGUACUAAGGCUCCUUUGGGGGAAGCUUAUUUUUUCUCGGUAUCCACAUUUGUAUCACUGGUUUCAUAUAUUGUUUACAUGUUUCGUAUUGGCGUGGUGUCCUGUAAAUGGCGAAUUCAUGAAGAUGUGUUAUAUACAGAAGAUAUGAUCCCAAGUUCGUUAUGGGCGUGUGUCAAAUACAAAGUUCUUUGGUCUACGCAGCAGCCCACCAGACGUGGUUUAUUCUGAUGAACUGGUACCGGUUAAUGGUAAAAAACUCUUUCAAUAUCGGAGCUAACAACAUAUACCAGUAAUUCACAUUCAACCUUUUAUAGAUUUAUUCUUUUACUAUAUGCUUAUUAGCCUUUCUUUAUUUCUCGGAAUAUUUACAGUCUAUCAAUUAGUAAAGGAGUUAUUUGACGUUUCUAAAUUUAUAUGAUCAUAUCAAAAAAAAUUGAAAUGAUUUUAUAUCUUCAAGAUCUUUGUUUUCAAAGUUACUCAGUGUUUAACGUCAACUACUGUUUCAAGUCUAUGGUUGAUAUUAACUGUUUUGUUACUUUUUUUUUUUUUUUGUAUUGUUACUACGUUGAUUAUAUUGUGUUGUUAAUAUGUCCAAAUCAUGUUACUCGCUAAGACAUGCAGUUUUGUUUAUGCGUAUUUUCAACCUUCCUCUCUGAGUCUAUCAUAUGAUCGAUUGAUAUUGUGUGAUUUUACUCCAUUAGGUUCAGUUUCUGACAACAAAACUGUGAAAUCCAGUGAGAAAUCUUCCAAGAGAAAGAGAAAGAAUCAGUAAAUAGAAUUAGGCCGCGCCCUAGGGGAAAAUGGCCGCUGAGAUCUGUGAUCACAGAAAAGACUCUCGAUAAUUGCUUGGAGCAUUCAACACUUCUCAGGAAAAAUCAAGAGCUUAUGAUGUAGUUGCAUGCAGGAUCUGUGGUGAUAGAGCUAAGGUGAAUUUUCCAGAGGAGAUGAUCCAUAGCUGCAUAGCACCUCCGAGAAACGUCAUACUGCUAAGACUUAUCUUAAGAAGCCAAUAGCUAAACCAAACAAAAGCUCGACGUUGGUUCAUGCUAUGUGUAAAGAAGCGUGCCUAGGAGACUCUAAGGCUAGAAGCUAUCUCCACCUGAGGGGUUGUCGCCUUGAGGACUUGAAGCGAGGUGUUUUCAGGAAGGCGGACGAUGCACCACGCCUCACACCGCACUGACGCUAUUUCAGACCCAGCGUUCAGCCGCCAACGCAUCUGAGUCGGUACUGCAACAACUCUUUUGACAACAUGGGACAUGACUACUUCGGUGAUGUGAGUUUCGCGGAAGAGAAGUUUCAGAUGUACACCAAACAGUUCGAUUUAACAAGCUCUUUCUCUGUUGGAGACAACAACAUAUACCAGUAUUUCACCUCCUAUCAGGGCAGUGUCUCAUUCUACUACUCGAGUUUGGGUGGAGUGAUCACGAGCCAAAAUCUCUUCAAUGCUAAAUAAUUUGGGAGUUGGAGGCGUUUCCGGCUAGUGGUGGAAUGACCAACGCACAGAGAUUCAUUCUUCGAGCCCCAUUAAACCCAAAAUCACAACAAGUGGUGGCUCAUAAACUGUUGCUUAUGAAGUCUCUCCGUCUUCUUCUAUGACCGUCGGUGUGAGCCAACUCGAUCCUGCUGAGCCCAGAUAGGUGACCCAACUAGCAUUGAGGUAAAGACUUGAACCUAAAGAGACGAAACUCUAAGGAGAGAACCUCACUCUAUUCUUCUUCAAAUCUUUAUCUGUAUUUUUCUUCGUGUUUUUUAUCAAACUACCAUGAACUCAGAAACAUGAAAGAUGUCCACAAACUAGACCGAUGUUUGGGACUACGUAGUACAUACGAUAGAUUGGACACGUUUUCUUACAUGUAAAGAAAAGAGACACGAAAGGGGUUGUGUAUGUAUUCUUCCUCUAGCUAGAUCAUUUUCUUUUUUUUUAACACUUUUUUUUUUAAAACUAGCUAGAUCAUCUUAUUUUCUAAAAAUCUGAGCUAGGCCUAGGCGUUUUUAACUCAACCCGAAGUACUGACCUUAACCCGAACCAGAAAAACCGAAACCGAAUCCGAACUGUUUUACAAAAAUAUUCGAAUGAGACUUAUGAACUUACUACUUUGGACUUUGGUUAUAACCCGUACCGAAAUAGGAUCCGAAGAUAUCCGAAAUUAGUUAAAUAUGUUAAUGUUUUUAUAUAUAUUAAGGUGAUUUAAAUAUUUUAGAGUAUUCAAAAUAUAUUUGUAGUUUGUUUUAUUUGUUAUUUUGAAUUCAUUUUAUUUAAUUUAGAUAGUUUAACUAAUUUUUAAUUAGAUUUGUAAAUAAUUUAUAUAUUUUGAAUUUUUUGGGUCAAUUUUCGAGGUUUUUAAAAAUAUAUUUUUGAACGAUUUUAAACAUUGGAUAAAUCCGAUCUGAACCGAACCCGGAAGGAACCGAACUGAACCCAAUCCGAUAAUUAGUAAAAACCAAAUGGUACUUAUGAGUAUAACACCGAAAAUCCAAAAAUCUGAAAAUCCGAAUCACCCGGACCGAAACCGAACGGACCACCGAACGCCCAGGCCCGAGCAAUGAUUAGAAGUCUUACUCAUCGUGACAAAGUGUAAUCCGGGUUCAUUUAUUCCGCCUGCUAUUUUUCCCUUACAGAAUAACUCUUUCUUUUGCAAGUUUGUUUCUCUUUCAAAACAAAUGGUUUCAUUUUUUGAAUUUCAGAAUUUUAUACGUAGAUACAUAACAAAAAAUAAAAGCUCUCAUAAAUAAUCUUAAAUGUGAUAAAAUGAUUUGCUACAUCACUUUUGGUAUGUUUUUUUUUUUUGAGAAAUAACUUUACUACAUCACUUUUUGGGUAGAAUAAAAUUUUAUUUAAAAAAAAGUCAAGUCAGUAUAAUGACAUAUAAUUACGUAAUAGAGUUUUAUCUUUUAGGCUUAGAUGUCUUUAACCGUAGUUUCAAAGUACUUUCCCUCAAAUUAUUCAUUUAUAAUUCAUUAUUGUUUUUCAAGAGUUACAAACAAUAAAAAAAGUCGAAUCAAUACGAAAGAAUGGAAAUCUACUUUUUGGGUUUGAUGAUGAUUCUAAAGAAAUUUGGUCAACCAAAAAGUUCUAACCAAAGUUCAUAAUCUAUUCAAAUCAGUUUAUGUAGUUGGAUGGUUGUUUGCUGUUCUUCUAAUGCAAUAAUUGCAACUACGUUCUAAUUGUCAAAGCUAUUAAGAAAUCUAAACGUAAGAUUAUAUGUAUUUCAACUUCAUUCAGGGAAAUCCAUUAGAAAAUGAUCCUUUAGUUGAUUCUGUAUAUUAUUAAUUGCUUUGAACUAAAAUCUUGCUUUAAGAUUUAAACUAGAAACUUACUUCAGAUUUAAAAUUAAAUUGUAUUUUAUAGAACCUCAAGAUUGGGGAAUUUGUUUUCCUAAUAGUCCAGCUGAAGAAAUAAGAUGCAUUAACUGCAUCCUAAGUAAUGUACAUAUAUUUACCUUGAGGUAAAAUAUUGGUUAGACUACUUAAGUUAAAAUUCAAAACAAAUUUAUAAGAAGAAGAACAACUGUGAAUAUAUGUCACAUAAUUUCACCAUCAUUAUAAAAUACAUAAGGUUGAAAAACAAUUAUGUACAUAAAUAUAUAAACAAAUGAAAAUAUAAAAUGGACACAAGUUGAAAGAUGAGGAAACAUUAAAAUUAUUAUAAAGAGUGCUACAACAACAAACAAAAACAACUUCAAUACACACAAACAAAUAAUAUUUAACAACCAAUUGUCACAUAUAAUGAAUAUCCUAAUCCACAAUAGACUAUAUAUACAAUAAUAAUUCAAUGAAGAAAUAUUAACUCGCACAAAGAAACAAUACAAAUAUAACAUAAACAAAACAUUUAUAAAUACAACAGACAACCGCUCUGGACGUAGCACGGGCUAUCCACUAGUAUCUAUCUAUCUAUAACAAUAAAGUAGACUUACCUCUUUUUUUCUGCUGCCACAUCACUCUGGAGACGGGGCGUUUUGCGCCACGUUUCAGUCAAUCCCUGAAACUUACAAACUAUACUAUUGAUUUGGACUUUUAAAGCUCUCUAGGUCUAGAUUCGUAUCAGCCCAAACUAAGUCUUUUUUAUUAAAUCUCCGUCUUCUUAGUGUUGCCGUCUCUUCCUUUUCACCUUACCAGAAACAAAAUGUUUCCAUUAGAGUUUAUGGUAUAAAGCUUAAUACAAACAACGAUGCUCUUUUCACCACCUUAUUCCAUCUCAAUCCUGCUUUCAAAUACCCUUAUUAACAGUUUUGAAAGAUUCAUGAUUGGUUUUCUUUACAGUUUUUUACUUUUUUUUUUUUUAAUAUGUAAGCAUGUAUUGGUAAUAGGAAGAUGGGUGAAACUGCUCUCAUGUAUGUGACUGUUAAUUGGGAAGAAGCUUGUGAAUAGAACUCUUUCUCAGGAGGAGAAGAUUCCUCAGGUCAGCUUCGAUCUGGUCUUUGAGAAGGAGUUUGAACUCUCCCACUCCUUGGUGAGAGGAAGUGUCUACUUCAUUGGCUACAAAACGCCCGACCUCGAUGAAUAGGUGGAUUCCUUUUCUUCUGAGGAUUACUCUUCUUCUGACUCAGAAGAGGAGGAGGAAGUGGAGGUCCCUUCAACUGCACUGCCAAUGUAAGUGCUGGAGCUGCUGCUUCGAGUGUUGUCAAGGCUGACUCAAAGCCAAAGGCAAAAGCCUGAAGAAGUGAAUAGUGAAUCAGACGAGGAUGAUGAAGGCUCUGAUGAGAAAGUAGUGAGUCUUUGCAUUUCGUAACGAUCAACGUUGAAUGCCACUUCUGUAAUGUAUAAGGCUGUCAUUCAAUCAGCCUAAUUAAGAAUCUGAAAAUGCUUCUAGGAUUUAAUAUCUCUUUAAGAGACGGCUUAGCUUUUUAAGAUUUUAGUAUAAGAAAGAACAAAUAAGCAAAGGUUUUUUGUUAUUGUGAUUUCAGCCAUGGCUCGGUCAAAGUGUACCGGUUUAUGUUUGUUGUAUUUUGAACAUUUGUUCAGAAUAGGAAGUUUACCAUAUUGUGUUAUACAAAUAUAAAAUAUUUUUGCUCUGAAACAAUAAACUGAAUGUCAUUUUAUAUGGUUUGCUCAUAUAAAUACAGGAGCUCUACUUCAUCAUCAUCGCUUAUGAAGUUACAAAAUUGAAACGUGUUACAAGUAUGAAUUUGAAUUGGCAUCUAAAGCUUAUCUUCCUCGUCUCUGUUUUUAACACCUCCGUGAAGUAGCAUAUUGUCGGCAUCUACCUUCUCCUUAUGGCUUACCGAUCAUAGGGAACUUGCACCAGCUAGGAAAAUUACUACAUCAGUCUCAAUCAUUGUAUUCUCUUUCAAAUCUAUAACUAUAACUCAAUCACAAAUACAGUGAAGUAAUGUUAACCCCGGUCUACCUAAACAAUUGAUAUUUGGUGAAAAAUGUGGGUCAUACAUAUCUCCUGAAUGGUGAUUGUAGAAAUUAAAAAAUAAACUCAAUGGUAAGUAGCAUAGUACACAUUCAUUCAUUAGACAUAUUAAAAAGUGAUGGAUUUAAGUUACAAUUCAUUUGGUGCGUAAGCAAGACCUAGGGCAUCCACGAUUAAAAAGAAUGUGGGACAUCAGCCACCAUGGCUCUCAGUCAAAUACAUAAUCACAAAAAAUCAUUCAGAAAAUUACAUAGAGGAGGAUAGCCCAGAGAAAACAAAAACGUAGCAAAAUACAUGUUGAACUUCUGCCACUAACCAAAUAAACAAUCAUUUGCAGAAAUAGAUAAUAUUGGAACUCAAGUAGUGAAAUCACACGUCCGAAACAAAAAUUAAUACAUAAAAACAUAUCUUUUAACAAAUACAAAUCACGAUCUACCCUUGACAAAUAACAAACACAUUAUCAGUAACUACUAUCAAAUGGAUCGAAAACACAUUGUCAACUCAUUCAAAAACACAAUAUACAAAUCUAGUAUAAUAAUAAAACAAGCUUUUCUCUUUUUUCGCUAUGCCACAUAAGCAAGAUAAGAUAGGACACGUGGCACACGUCUUAAGCAAUCCAAAUAUGUUUUUUUGGCAGUGGAUUCUUAUUGGAAUUUUCUACUCUUUUCAAACAAGGCCUAUUGGUAAUUAGGGAUUGGUUUUAUUUUCCAAUACGUUUCUGCUGUGGACAGACGCUGUGCCUCCAGCUAUUUACUCUAUUAAUCGAAGCAUUUACUUCAUUAAUAUGUUUGACGAAGUCAGCCGUCAAGCUCUUCUCUUCCAACUCGAUACCGUUCCACUAUCCCUUCCAUUGCUUCUGUUGAGAAACGUUUACAGUAAUGAAAUUCAGCCAACGAUGCCCACUACAUCCUCUUUGGUGCCUCUUAACUCCUUAUCAAACUCGCUCAUCAUGUAUAUAUUUAGAAGGGUUUCAGAGGCCCGAAAUGAUAAGAAAGGUCGUGCGCCAAUGGGUGUCUGAUAUGCUUUUGAUUGAUGCUGUUGAUUGAUGGGAAGUCAACGCUAAUCCAAAACGUCGAACAAUGUUCCGGUUUAACUCCUUCAAACGACGCUGAGAGAAGGCUCUCUCUAUGAGCUCAGUGUUUUUGAUGUGACAAGAAGCAGCACCAACUUCAGGUUCCGUGGCAGUCCUUUUGCUAUAAGAUUCAACGAACAAACCAUCGUAUCUUGCUUCAACAAACCCAAUAUCGCUAGAUGCCUGAAUGUUUAACUCCUCAGGGGGCCUGGAUAAUCGUAAAAGCAAGCGGAAGCCUCUGAGAAAUCGAUAGAAAAGAAGGUAAUUGCAGAAGCAUGCAAGAAGGGCCUGCAAGCUUUCCACUGGAGAGACUAUUGGCAGAUUCCAGUGCUCGCGUUGUGUCUUGAGGAGAUUAAUAUUCAUUUGGCAAAGAGGAAGAAGAAGAAAAGAAGCUAUGGGUACAACAGUGAUGUCUGAUAUUCUGCUUGAAGUGUCGAGUCUUGCAAACUUCAUAAUCAAAAGCAUAAACUACAUAAUCAAAAGCGAGGCUUCUUAUUAGAAGGUUCUAUUAAGUACAAAGAUUUAGUAAGAAUAUACAAGAAUUUGGUCCAGUUUUUAGUUAUUUAAAAUGCCUUUUAAAUAAAUGAUCAGUAGUGUUACAAAAAAAAGAAUCAGUUAUCCCAUUUUGUAAUUUCUUAUUGAAACUGAAGGUGAUACCUAUCACGGAUGCGCAUUACCUAGACUAUAAUUCUGAUUGCAAAUCAUAAUUUAUGGAUCAUCAUACUUUUUCUCAUAUUAAUAAUACAGCCAUUGUUUUAAGCUAAAUUUAUAUAGUUCAAUUUCCAGUUUGCAUAUUUGAAUGUUUCAAAAUUUCAAUGCUUCUGAAUUUCUAAUAAGACAUUUAGAAAAGUCGACCAAUCUCAAUAGACAUCACAAUCACCGUGAUUAAAUAAGAUUUGCAUAGGUAAAAAUUGUUAUAAAAUCAUGUCAUCGGACAUCAUUUAUUUAAUGUAAUUUUUUGACAAUAUACAUUUGGUGCAGUCUCAAAUUAUCAACAUGUAGAUGCUUUUUCUCCGUUUAUCUGAUCAGUUUACCAAAGCUUUCCUUGUCUUUUUUUUCAGCA